GUGAGGGACAUUGUGGAGAGCGAAGAGAAGGGAAGGAAAACGCAGGGAUGUGCAUAUGUGUGUGUGUGUGUGUAGGCUAUUGUGCUUUUCCCGAGUGAACAUUUUACACCCGUCAGAAAUACAGCGAGUUUUUUUUCCAAUUUUGGUCAGAGAAUAGACGUAUUGCAGUCUUGGUUUUAGGGUUUUGGGGAAAAUGUGUUUGCACAAAAGCACACUUUUGCACACACUGCUGUCGUCAUUUGCUGUUUAAUUUCUCCCUAAGAGUCUAAUUCGACGGAAACAUGGCAAUUGAACGGGCGUCUAGUACUUGUAAGUAUGAUUAUAGUGACCAAUAGGCUACAGUAAUCGCACCUAAACUUGGUAAUGAUUGUGUGCAUGCGUUUUUUUUUACUUUGAUGGACUAUUGAUAGAUUUUUUUGCAUUCAAAUCGACGUUUUGUCAACGAUCUAAAUACCAAGCAAUAUGAAUUUAUGACAACAGUAGGCUACUUAAUCAACAUUCGGCUAUCUACAGCUUUGACUUCUAAGCGAGACUGUUAAUGUAUGCAUGGAGACAAUUAUAGGCUAAACGCAGCAUUUGACAACAGCGCCAUUAACAUAUAUAUUUUUUUUCAAUAGCGUCUCAGUAGCCUACUGGUUUAGAUGCGGACAGAUUGAAUAUUUAUAUUUAGGCUAGAGUUAUUGGUUGUGGUUGCCGGUCGCUCUUGCGGGCACGUGCAUACACAUUGAUCCUCACACACGCCUCAGCACGGACGCUGGAUGUACAUCAACCAAGACUCUUUUUUUGUGUGAUCAUCUUCCUCGUCAACUGUCAUCCCGAGCCAGCAGCUGAACAGUGCGGCAGUGGAGGGAUGGCACUUCUCUUUUUAAUUAUCCUAGUGUUCCCCUCCCUCACACCGGCCAAACACAAUACAACCACAGGCGGCUGUGCUAUCAUCCGUCCUCCCAGAGAUGGAGGGAUAAGGUACAGAGGACUGACCCAAGAGCAGAUCCGCAGUGUGCAGGUUCUCCCCGACUAUGAGAUUGAGUACAUCUGCAGAGGGA